CGUAGGGCGCAAGCGUUGUCCGGAUUUAUUGGGCGUAAAGAGCUCGUAGGCGGCUUGUUGCGUCGACUGUGAAAACCCGUGGCUCAACCAUGUGGUCUGCAGUCGAUACGGGCAGGCUAGAAUUCGGUAGGGGAGACUGGAAUUCCUGGUGUAGCGGUGAAAUGCGCAGAUAUCAGGAGGAACACCGGUGGCGAAGGCGGGUCUCUGGGCCGAUAUUGACGCUGAGGAGCGAAAGCGUGGGGAGCGAACAGGAUUAGAUACCCUGGUAGUCCACGCUGUAAACGUUGGGCGCUAGGUGUGGGGGGCCUCUCCGGUUCUCUGUGCCGCAGCUAACGCAUUAAGCGCCCCGCCUGGGGAGUACGGCCGCAAGGCUA
rnacentral:rRNA from 1 species